UAUAGUUUGUAUUUUUUUUUAUAGUUUAUCAAUUUUCAUCUAAAUCUCUUUUCAUCCAAUUGGUGUUUUUAAAUCUGGGUUAUUGAGAAAUGUUUCAUAUUUUUUAUUUUUAAUUUGUGGUUUUAAGGUUAAUUUGUGUAAAGAUUAGAUUAACGCUCAUUAGAUUCAUCAAAUGGUUUUAAAGCGCAGUAGCUGCAUCGUUUUCGACUUAAUGUUUGUAUUUCUCUCUGCUCUCUGAAUUAGAAUUUCAUUUUUAAAUUUGUAUGGUGAAUAUUUUUAUUUUCCCCCAAUUAAUUUUAUUUUAGAUUAUUAAGUUUUGUUUGAAUUUGAUUUUGUGCAUCCCACUUCCUCUUAGCAAGAAUUAUAAAGGUUGAUUAUUUUUCAAGUUCUAUAUUUUAUUGUUAAUCCUGUAGAUUUACUUUUUGGUAUGAUUUCCAAGGCUCACUUGAAUUGUUAAUACGUGAGCACUGCCGGUUGAUUUAGCUUUUAGUUCAUCGUACUUCUUUUUUUGUUUAUAGCAAUCUUGCCGGCUUUAGCUAACCCAAAAAUUUUCACUUUUUGUAGACUUCGAAUAUGGUCAAAUUGAAGUUGAUUCUACGAACCAAAUACCGAUAAAUAGACAUUUUUUGUAUCCAACUGCACAAAUCAUUUUAAGGUUCCUCGAAACUUUUUCGGAUAUGAAAUACCUGCUAAAUCAAGGGAGAAGGGACACAGGUUGGUUUUCUCUGUCGAGGUAAAUACCAAUAUUUGAUUAUAUACAUUGAGGUUUGGUAAAAAUCUUUUCAUUACGUAUUAAUUCUGGAUGAAUUUAGCACUGCUAGAGUCCAUUGUAGCAAUGUUCACGAAGUAUAAUAUAGGAUAUCGUUAUUAUUAACAUGUUAUUUAGGGGGUUUGCGCAAGGUCAUAUUCGUUUGCCAGAUAUAUAUAAGGUCGGGUGAAAGGUUUAUUCGCGUUUCUGUACUGUUGGUUUCACUACAAGCUACUUUUGGACCCUUAAUACCAAUAUUUGAGCUUGGAUGAAGUAUAAAAGUUCAGUAUUUUUUUCCAGGGACCUACUAUAUGUUCAUUUCGUACAAUUCUCAAUAAGUUUUAAGCUCAGUUUUGUAUAACACCACAUAGGUUGGAGAAAAUGUAAAUUAUCAUUAUGUGAAUGCUUUGACAGAAGGUCUACAGAUGUUGACAGGAACAAGGAAGUUAUAGAAUUGUGAACUAUUGGAACUCAUGCUUUUGCAAAUAUUUUUUUCCGUUUGAUCGUUGUCAUGUUGAUCUCGAUGAAAGAUUUUCCUAAAAACAAUCCACUUAUACAGAUAUCGGCAAUCAUUCUAGGUGUGGAAUGGGUUAUCUUAAAUAAUUGGUUAGACAUAGGUUGAAUUUGGCCUCAUGUAGUCAUCAAGCAUUAAUGUUCCUUUCAAGGUUAUGUACAAAAUGGUGUGUGUACCUGUAUUUUCUUUGAUUUCUGAAGUAAGUUGGAUGUUAAUCCUAUAUUUUUGUAUGCAUAGGCAAAAUUGAAAAAGCGUGUAUGGAACCGCGACAUGUUGGAUUUUGGGAACAUGAACACCAGCAUAUGCAUCACCUCUUAUAUUCUUUUUCUCCAUGUAUACAAUUUUAGAACUUUUGUUCCAAAGUUUCAAAGAACUUUGUAACGGUAUUGGAAUAGUAUGGGGUAGUAGUCAUGUAAAAAUUGUUGUCGUUCAA